CUGAGACCCCAAUCUGUCGACAGCGAGCGUUGCCAUAUAACGAUCGACAUGUCCACUUAGCUAUUAAGUGCAAUUUACCAACAAGAAGCAAAAAAGUUUGACGUAUUCUGGAAUGAACCAGGUGGGAUUACAGACCCCAUCAGAAUAUCAAAUUUCUAUGUUAUCAAUGAUAAUCAGAAAUAGAAAACGGCAACCUCCUAACAAUUAAGUGCAAUUUAACGAUCGACAUGUGCAAUUUAUCAAUUUAACGAGCGUUGCCAUAUAACGAUCGACACGUCCACUUAGCUAUUAAGUGCAAUUUACCAACAAGAAGCAAAAAAGUUUGACGUAUUCUGGAAUGAACCAGGUGGGAUUACAGACCCCAUCAGAAUAUCAAAUUUCUAUGUUAUCAAUGAUAAUCAGAAAUAGAAAACGACAACCUCCUAACUGCCCACCAACAACUUCCAGAAGAAAGUUUUAAAAAUUGUCAGAUCACAAACUUCAGCUUGAUGUUCGAAAAAGAGCUCUGCUGAUGAUACCGGUGGCUUCAAUGUAGCGAUCCACACACCUUGAGACACAACUACUCUCACUACCACUCAGGCUGCUCCCAGGUU
rnacentral:lncRNA from 1 species